UACGUAGGGGUGCGAGCGUUUAAUCGGAAUUACUGGGCGUAAAGCGUGCGCAGGCGGUUCGCUGUGUCCUGUGUGAAAGCCCAGAGCUCAACUCUGGAAUUGCCUUUUGAAACUAGAGAACUUGAGUACGGGAGAGGUGAGUGGAAUUCCGAGUGUAGAGGUGAAAUUCGUAGAUAUUCGGAAGAACACCAGUGGCGAAGGCGGCUCACUGGCCCGUUACUGACGCUCAGGCGCGACAGCGUGGGGGAGCAAACAGG
rnacentral:rRNA from 1 species